rnacentral:lncRNA from 1 species
GUGCCCAGGGCUGGGUAUCCCACCCUGGCCCGGUCCUGCUGUGCUGGGAUCCCAGCUGCUGAGGCCUGAGCCCUCUGGAAGCGUUCGGGGCCAGGUGCCCGUGUGAGAGGCGGCUGCUGGUGGGCUGGAGCUGGGCAGGGGGCUCUGGUGAUGGGCAGCCCAGCAGGGUGGGACCCCUGCCCCAUCCCACCCAGCACAGCCCGUGAUGGCUCUGUGCUGUUCCUCUCCAUGUGUCCCCUGAGCGGUGCUGCGUGGCAUCAGCAGGGUUUAUACUCCAGUUGUGUUUUGGCCGGAAAAUUUGCAGAAGAAUUGGCUUCGGGAAUUUUAUCAGGUAAGGUAAAGUUUAUUUUCUCAUGGAGUUCUGUGCAUCUUUGUUUAUUGAACUAAUUAGUAAUGUCAGGAUCUUUUGCUUUAUGAAGUGAAAUUGCUAUUUUUAUAGUGAUUUUAUUUUAUGUAAAAGACAACCCUGAGAAAUACGUCUCUGGAUUUCUAAGUAAUCAUUAUAAAAAUCCAGCAUAUAAGCACCAUUUGUUCUCAUCAGCAAUUCUCUACCUAAAAAGUAGAUUUGGGUUUUAUGAAAUUGACUUCAGUUUGGCAUGAAAUGGUCUUUGAAGUCUACUGAGUAAGAUACAUAUUUAAGUACUUUUAAGGAAUUUCUAUUGGCAAGUCCAGUUUACCUUAAAAUUGAAACAUGAGAGUUGUGGGCAUUGGUGGGCAUUGCAAUAAAUCAGUCCUGUGUCUUCUCUCUCCUAACA